GUCCACGCUGUAAACGAUGAGCGCUAGGUGUUGCGGGUGUUGACCCCUGCAGUGCCGAAGCUAACGCAUUAAGCGCUCCGCCUGGGAAGUACGGCCGCAAGGCUAAACUCAAAGGAAUUGACGGGGCCCGCACAAGCGGUGGAGCAUGUGGUUUAAUUCGACGCAACGCGCAGAACCUUACCUGGUCUUGACAUCCUAGGAACCCGCCAGAGAUGGUGGGGUGCCCGCAAGGGAGCCUAGAGACAGGUGCUGCAUGGCUGUCGU
rnacentral:rRNA from 1 species